GCUAUCUAAACGGUGGAAAAGAAAAGGAGUGGAAUUUGUGUGAUAGUUGGGCGGUGCAUGAUUGUUAUUUGGACAGCUGCCAGAUGAACUUGCCACCGAAAUUGUUGAGUAGGCAGUGACCGAACGAGAGUUUGGAUUGAUUAGCACCGAAUGAGGAAGCUUGAGUGGUCGGCUGAUUGAAGGAAAUAAGUCGAAUUCUCUUCUUAUCAACCAAGCAGUAGAAACAAAACCGAGAGAGAGAGUUUCGGUCAUAACCAUUCAUUCCAAAACACCACCGAGUGAGAAACAUUUCUGGUUCUUCAUUGCUCCAAGUCUGCACCCGAGAGAGCGUAAGGGAGAAAGAGUGAAUCAUUUCCUAUUACCAAGCCAACCAACAGAGAGUUGAGAGGGGGGAAGGACUGCAGCUGUUUGGCGUGCAAACUAGAGGCAGCGGGGGGAGCAAGAAGAGAGAAAUCUGGUGCGAUUCUUUGAGGAGCAGAGGGAGGAAACUGUCCACAUUUUUCCAGCUGAGAUUGUCUGCAAAAGGGAGGAAGUAGCUGUGAGUCAGGAAGCAAAUGCGAGGCUCGCGAAUAGUUCAUUGGCUCCUGAAUAGUUCAUUUGGAUAUUUGGAGUUGGAGGUCGGGGAUCGAACGAGGGAAUUUGGGGAUUUAUCGUGAAGACUUUAGCCUUGUGAUUAGUAUCUUAAUAAGGUAGGAAUAUUGUAUCAUCAAGGUAUUGUAAAAGAAUGUGAACGGUUGGUUUUGGUUUAUCAAAAUGUUAUCUCUGGAGUUAAUGUA